ensembl:lncRNA
GGCAGAUCUCGGUUUUGACACUCCGGAUUCCACUCUUGCUCCAGAGUUUACGUGGUGGUUUGCCCUGCCAGCUCAGUUCUGUGAGGAGUCCAAAACAUGGGUGGAUUCAGUUUUUCCAGCGUUUUCUUGCUUUAAGGAUGGGAUUGGUGAUCUCUGCCCUCUCUAUAUGUUGGGGCUGAAACCAGAAGUUUUAUUUGUGACCAUUUUUGAAAUAUGCCACAAUCAGUAUAAGCCUAUGAUUUUCAAAUAUCAUGGGCAUAAUUGGAAAUACCGGCUACAUUAGCAAGGCUUUGACUAGAAGGUCAUAUUCAAAUAAGAUGUACAUAGAUUCAGAAAUGACUAGACACCUUUAAGGAACUGCUUGCAAAAAUUGGCCUGGUACCUUGCUUAUAAGGUUUCGGUAAAGCAACCUUAAAAAAAAAAAAAAAAGAGCUUAUACGGUCAAUCACUAUUUUUGCUGUAUUUGUCAUAAAUAAUAAAUGAUUUAUUAUGAAAAUAAUGAUUUUCUGACGCUUACAACCUUGGACAACUGUAGACUUUGAAUAAGAGAUGCCUGAGAGUUCUCCCUCCUAACCUUCCUUGUUACUCAAACGUGGCCUAAAUGGUUUCCAACCACUAUGCGCUUUCCCUCCAACGGGGGGCAUGACAACCAGAAGGGGUCCUUCCUGGCACUGAGGCACAAAACCACUAUGCACAGAGAACCUGACUCUUGAUCAGCGAUGCUUUCGGAGAAAGAUCUUGAUCAAAAGGGAAAAUAUGAAAACUAAUAGAGGGAAACCUCAUUCAAAAUGGAGUCAGGGAGCCAGAAGGCGGAGCUCCCUUGCAGUACCAAUGGAGGUCAAUUACGGGAAAGACAGUCAAUUACAGAUCCCAACACAAAGAAGUCGUCAAUAGGGGAAAAUCAUUAAUUACAGGAAGAAGUGUACAUUGCAUCCCAAACAGAAACCGACUACCCCAGAAACUCAGCCCAUGAGAAACCAUCACCACCAUGAACUCUUGCUUUUCUCCAAUGGACUUUUGUUCAAAACAACCCCUCCCAAUUUUCUUCUUUUCCUCUACAAAUUAACAUUCCUCUCCCUUGGUUGUUGCAUUUGCCUAUGGUCUGCCAUAGCGUGCACGUCCUGAAUUGCAAUUCCCUGGCUAUUCCCAAAUAAACUCGUUUUGCUGGUAAAAUAACUGGCUGCUUUACUUUUAAGAUUGACACCAUACAUGGACUUCUGACCUCCAGAACUGUGAGCUAGUGAGUAGACGUUGUUUUUAAGUGGCUAAGUUUAUGGCAGUUUGUUAUGCGGGAAUAGAC